rnacentral:rRNA from 1 species
UACGUAGGGCGCAAGCGUUGUCCGGAAUUAUUGGGCGGAAAGAGCUCGUAGGCGGCUUGUCACGUCGGAUGUGAAAGCCCGAGGCUUAACCUCGGGUCUGCAUUCGAUACGGGCUAGCUAGAGUGUGGUAGGGGAGAUCGGAAUUCCUGGUGUAGCGGUGAAAUGCGCAGAUAUCAGGAGGAACACCGGUGGCGAAGGCGGAUCUCUGGGCCAUUACUGACGCUGAGGAGCGAAAGCGUGGGGAGCGAACAGG